rnacentral:lncRNA from 1 species
CUGUCUCUGUCAGUACUGACCUUUCUGAUCAGAGUAAAUGGUGAGGAAACUGAGGCAAAUAAGGUGGUCACACAGCUAGCAAAUAUCUGAGGCCAGGUUUGAAUCCAGGAAGGAGACUGAAUAUCCUUUUCCAACUGAUCGUGAUAGAUCUAUGCCUUGGAUCAGCAUGCUUACUAAGUCAAAAGUUAUCGAGAAUGAAGAUGGAGGAAAAUGAGGAAAAUUUGACAUACACUCUCAGUCACCUGAAGUUUACACUGAAAGUCUCAAGGUGAUACUCCCCGGCACUGUUGGUGGACUGGGUUCAGCUUCCUGGAAACUAUGACAUAGGGUCCAGCUUUCAGAAUUCCAGUGGCUGCUCCAGCCUUUGAAUCUGUGGCCUCGGGCA